CAAGUCGAACGGCAGCACGGGUGCUUGCACCUGGUGGCGAGUGGCGAACGGGUGAGUAAUACAUCGGAACGUACCUUAUCGUGGGGGAUAACGCAGCGAAAGCUGUGCUAAUACCGCAUACGCCCUGAGGGGGAAAGCGGGGGAUCGAAAGACCUCGCGCGAUUAGAGCGGCCGAUGCCUGAUUAGCUUGUUGGUGGGGUAAAAGCCCACCAAGGCGACGAUCAGUAGCUGGUCUGAGAGGACGAUCAGCCACACUGGGACUGAGACACGGCCCAGACUCCUACGGGAGGCAGCAGUGGGGAAUUUUGGACAAUGGGGGAAACCCUGAUCCAGCAAUGCCGCGUGAGUGAAGAAGGCCUUCGGGUUGUAAAGCUCUUUUGUCAGGGAAGAAACACCGGCUCUAACACAGUCCGGGAAUGACGGUACCUGAAGAAUAAGCACCGGCUAACUACGUGCCAGCAGCCGCGGUAAUACGUAGGGUGCGAGCGUUAAUCGGAAUUACUGGGCGUAAAGCGUGCGCAGGCGGUUAUACAAGACAGGCGUGAAAUCCCCGGGCUUAACCUGGGAAUGGCGCCUGUGACUGUAUAGCUAGAGUGUGUCAGAGGGGGGUAGAAUUCCACGUGUAGCAGUGAAAUGCGUAGAUAUGUGGAGGAAUACCAAUGGCGAAGGCAGCCCCCUGGGAUAACACUGACGCUCAUGCACGAAAGCGUGGGGAGCAAACAGGAUUAGAUACCCUGAUAGUCCACGCCCUAAACGAUGCUGACUAGUUGUUCGGGAUUUACAUCCUGAGUAACGUAGCUAACGCGUGAAGUCAGCCGCCUGGGGAGUACGGUCGCAAGAUUAAAACUCAAAGGAAUUGACGG
rnacentral:rRNA from 1 species